GGGGAAUAUUGCACAAUGGGGGAAACCCUGAUGCAGCGACGCCGCGUGAGUGAAGAAGUAUUUCGGUAUGUAAAGCUCUAUCAGCAGGGAAGAUAAUGACGGUAACUGACUAAGAAGCCGCGCCUACUUACGUGCCAGCAGCCGCGGUAAUACGGAGGGGGCAAGCGUUAUCCGGAUUUACUGGGUGUAAAGGGAGCGUAGGUGGCAAGGCAAGUCAGAUGUGAAAGCCCGGGGCUCAACCCCGGUACUGCAUUUGAAACUGUCUAGCUAGAGUGCAGGAGAGGUAAGUGGAAUUCCUAGUGUAGCGGUGAAAUGCGGAGAUAUUAGGAGGAACACCAGUGGCGAAGGCGGCUUACUGGACUGUAACUGACACUGAGGCUCGAAAGCGUGGGGAGCAAACAGG
rnacentral:rRNA from 1 species